UUGGGAAGAGGCAGUUGGGAAAGCAGUUGGCAGACUGAUGGAAAUAGAGAGACAGUUAGUGCAGUUGGUCCUCGUGUGAGGGGAGGUGGAAGAGUUAGGGGCAGGAUAAAAUAAGACCAAGAAGGUAAAGAGUAACAACGUUUUGAAUGCAUUUAAAGUUUAUUUGUGUUUGCAAUAAACUACAAUCUUCAUUGUUAACUUAAGAACCUGACUGAGACUAAGUGAUUUACUGGGGAGGACCUGGUUGGUGGCAGCGGAUUAGUGGUGUACGGGUCAAUAGUCCAUGAGGUGACCAGGGGUUCCGUACGAAUGCAGUGCAUUUUUAACUAUGGAACUCACUCCCACAGGAGACUGGGAUGGCCACCAACUUGAAUGGCUUUAAAAAAGGAUUGGAUAAAUUCAUGGAAUGGUUCCUAGCCCAGAUGGCUAUGCUCUGUCAGCACCGUUAGAAGCCUCAAUACUUCUGAAUAACUGUUGCUGGAAACCACAGGAGGGGAGAAGUCUCUUGCGCUUGGGUUCUGCUGGAUUAUUUACCACAAGAAUCUGGUUGGUGACUGUGAGAACAUGAUGCAUGUCUCUUCUUGUGCUUUACGCUCUUAUGUCAUCCUCUCCAACUCUCCUCAGUGCAGGAACUCUAGAGCUAGAUCAUGCCUGACAGCUGAAUUUCCAGUGGCUGACUGAGGAGACAUUACUAUUUCUUUAGGCAGCCCUGUUUAGGGAAGCUUUUAAUGUUUGAUGUAUUUGUGUAUUUUAAUAUUUGGUUGGAAGCCACCCAGAAUGGCUGGGGAAGCCCAGCCAGAUGGGCGGGGUAUAAAUAAUAAAUUAGUAGUAGUAGUAGUAGUAGUAGUAGUAAUUUAUUCCAGCAAGUAGUUAAAAAUACAGAAGCAAUAAGAAGCAGUGAGGAGACAAGCCCAAAGAUUUUUGCUUCAUGUUUCUUGCUUCGACCUAGGGGCUCUUAUUUAUUCUGCCUCAGGACCUAACAUUAGACAGAGUGAAGUGCCCGCCUCAGGUGACUGAGUUUGGGUGUCAUGAAAGGGUGGCAAAUUGUUAGCUGUAUCGAUGAAAGCUUUGGGGAUUUUCUGACUUGAUUGCCAAAAAACUUGACCAGCCUUGGGUACUAUGCACCUUGACUAAGGUGUGUGCAUGUGUGCAGGGGCAUAAGAACUGAAGAAGAGUCUACUCAAUCAGACCAAAAGAUAAUCUAGUCCAGCAUCUUGUUCUUACAUUGGUCAGCUAGAUGCCCAUGGGAAGCCCAAAAUCAGGACCUGAGGGAAACAGGCCUCUCACCACAUAAGAUCUCCAGCAACUGGCAUUCAGAUUCAUAUAGCAUUAUCCUCCAUGAAUUAGUCUAAUCUUCUUUUAAAGCCACCCAAGAUGGCGGCCAUCACUACUUCUUGUGGGGGUGAAUGCCAUAGUUUAACUAGGUGCUAUAUGAAGAAAUACUUUCUUUUGUAUGCCCUGAAUCUCCCAGCAUCUGGUUUCAUUGAGUUCCCUGGGUUCUAGUGUCAUGAGACUGGAGAGCAGAGGCAAUUUCAGGCUUCCUCAACCUCGGCCCUCCAGAUGUUUUGAGACUACAAUUCCCAUCAUCCCUGACCACUGGUCCUGCUAGCUAGGAAUCAUGAGAGUUGUAGGGCAAAAACAUCUGGAGGGCCGAGGUUGAGGAAGCCUGUUCUAUUUUCUAAUGUGAUGGGCCUAAGUAGGUUUUGCUAAUGUACUGACAUUUUAUUGUUUCUUCAGUCCAUGUCAAGAAGGCCAUCUCAAGAAGAUUUACUUCAGGCAAUACCAUGAGGGGAAAUAGAUGAAGGCAGAAACUAAGGUCAGAAUGCUGUAGCAAGCUUUUUUGUGUUUUUUUUAAGUGUUGUUUUGCUUUGUUCCCGGAACUGUACAUCCAAAGCAGAACUAUUUGCAAAAUAUUCCACAUUUGCUACUUUUUACCUUUGUCAUUUUAGUGUCCCAUAUUAUUAGUGUCCCAUAUUAUUAGUGUCCCAUAUUAUGAGACACUAAAAUGACAAAGGUAAAAAGUAGCAAAUGUGGAAUAUUUUGUGGGAAAACCUCAUUUUUAUUUUGCAGCUAAAAUUAAUUCAGCAAAAAAACAAAACCUCUUUAAAAAAAAAAAAAAUCCAAUGUAAUUAGAUCAGUGCUGAUUUUUAAAAACUCCUGGCAAUAGCAAUUGAUUUGUCAGUAUUAAGAUGCCUUUCAAAUUUCUGGUUGCUUCAGUUUCAGUCACUAUUGCAGUUAAACUGCUCCGCUGUUCUGAAAUUAGAACCAUUUAAAUGAUAAAGUUUUAUAAGAACAACAUCUUCAUCUGCCAUUUUUUAUUGUCUCUAAAUAGUGAUCUGGCCCCGUCAUUUUAUGCUAUAGGCAGGUGGCCGCAUAUACAAUACACCCCAACAAAAUAUUUUAAUGCUGUUUAGUUAUUUAAUUAAGGAUAAUUUCCAUUGUGUUUAUUUAUACCAAAGCUAUUAAUAUGAAUUCUUAAUUGAAUGUAUUUGCGUGUGGUAGUGUGUGUAGUUUCUCCAGUAUCUGCAUUUUUAGGCACACUAUACCUGAAUAUGUUCAUUUUUGCACACAUUGCGUGCCUGAAAAACGGUACUGCAAAAUUCAGAGAACUGUGAAUUUUGAAGAAUGGCUGUGUUGUUGUUUGCAUAGUGUUUCAGAAAGUCCAAAUUAGGUAUAUUUGCCUUUCAGUGUGAACUGAAUCAAAUAUAUUCCCCCUCCUUACCAAAGCUGGCAUUUAACCUGGUGUAUGGAACUUUAAAGAGAAACAGCAAAAGGAAGGAACAUGGGCUGCACAAAUAUUUCAAAUUAAACAAGUUUUAAAUGUAAUAGGGGGGAAAGUGUUGGACACAAAUCUCCUGAAUUGAAAUGACUAACUUCCUGGAUGGGUGAAACAGAGCAUGGCAUAAAUCUUAAAUAAAAUAUGAAGACUCAAGAGGAAUUUGUCUCUAGAGGAUUAGUUGCAUGCUCUAUUUCCUCUCAAUAAACAUGCUUCAGGGUGAUGGGCAAUCACCUUUUUUUGAGUCAGUGAAGGUGUGCUAUCUCUGUGAUGCAGAUAUAGUCAAUCAUCAUAAACCUGUUGAACUAGGUACUUCAAAUGUAGUGUCUAUUGUUUUGCAGGUAAUUCAAUCAGGAUGUUGAAAGAGUGAUUUCCAUUCAUUGCACCAACGGUCUGAAAGACGGAUGGUUUAAUUAAUCCAACUACAUUCCUAUAAAUAAACAAUGCAGGGCAGUUAGCAGGCUACUUUGCUCAUAGUAUUAUAGAUUUUUUUGUUAGCAUUCUUGAGGAGUACCAUUUCGUACUAGAUCAAUUCAACCAAAGGCUGACAAUAUAUGAUUCCACCAUGCCACUUUCAAGAAAUGACAAGAACAACCAUUACAACAAGAAAAGAAAAACAUGCCAAUGUACAUACUAUCUACUGUUUCCAACCUAAUUUUAAAUUAAACAUUCAACUUCUUUUUCCCCA